rnacentral:rRNA from 1 species
AAAGGGGGCUUCGGCCCCUGAGUACAGCGGCGAACGGGUGCGUAAUACAUGAGUAAUCUACCCUUGAGGCGGGAAUAACCCAGCGAAAGUUGGGCUAAUACCGGAUAAGACCACAAGAGGAAACUCUAGAGGUCAAAGGUAGCUCUCUUUUGGGGGCAGCCCUUUGAGGAGGAGUUCAUGUCCUAUCAGCUAGUUGGUAGGGUAACGGCCUACCAAGGCGAAGACGGGUAGCUGGUCUUAGAGGAUGAUCAGCCACACGGGGACUGAGACACGGCCCCGACUCCUACGGGAGGCAGCAGUGGGGAAUAUUGGGCAAUGGGCGAAAGCCUGACCCAGCGACGCCGCGUGGGUGAUGAAGGCCUUCGGGUCGUAAAGCCCUGUCAGGAGGAAAGAACGAUCUUGUGGUGAAUAUCCACAGGAUGUGACGGUACCUCCGAAGGAAGCACCGGCCAAUUCCGUGCCAGCAGCCGCGGUAA